CAGGUCCGACAGGCCAGCCACGUCUCUUGUAGCUUGGAUAACCACCAGAGGUCAGCAAACCACAUUCCAGGGAUUGCCGAAGUGGUUUUCUUUGAUGCUUACAUUGAUGUCUGGUUUUUGUACUGAAGAAACACUGAGAUUGCUACAGACAAGAAAGAUCAUCAUAAUAACUUAAUUCCAGUGAGUGUGAAUUUGGUGUUCAAGAAAUACAACACAUGUAAUGGUUGGCUAAAGUCAGGAAUAGCAGAAAAAAAGAUGGUGGACCACCUUCUGAG